rnacentral:rRNA from 1 species
CAGUAGCCGCGGUAAUACGUAGGUAGCAAGCGUUGUCCGGAAUUAUUGGGCGUAAAGGGCUCGCAGGCGGUUUCUUAAGUCUGAUGUGAAAGCCCCCGGCUCAACCGGGGAGGGUCAUUGGAAACUGGGAAACCUGAGUGCAGAAGAGGAGAGUGGAAUUCCACGUGUAGCGGUGAAAUGCGUAGAGAUGUGGAGGAACACCAGUGGCGAAGGCGACUCUCUGGUCUGUAACUGACGCUGAGGAGCGAAAGCGUGGGGAGCGAACAGGAUUAGAGACCCCUGUAGUCCCUGUCUCUUAUAC